rnacentral:rRNA from 1 species
CUGUGAGCUCGAUGAGUAGGGCGGGACACGUGGUAUCCUGUCUGAAUAUGGGGGGACCAUCCUCCAAGGCUAAAUACUCCUGACUGACCGAUAGUGAACCAGUACCGUGAGGGAAAGGCGAAAAGAACCCCGGCGAGGGGAGUGAAAAAGAACCUGAAACCGUGUACGUACAAGCAGUGGGAGCACAGAGCAAUCUGUGUGACUGCGUACCUUUUGUAUAAUGGGUCAGCGACUUAUAUUCUGUAGCAAGGUUAACCGAAUAGGGGAGCCGAAGGGAAACCGAGUCUUAACUGGGCGUUAAGUUGCAGGGUAUAGACCCGAAACCCGGUGAUCUAGCCAUGGGCAGGUUGAAGGUUGGGUAACACUAACUGGAGGACCGAACCGACUAAUGUUGAAAAAUUAGCGGAUGACUUGUGGCUGGGGGUGAAAGGCCAAUCAAACCGGGAGAUAGCUGGUUCUCCCCGAAAGCUAUUUAGGUAGCGCCUCGUGAAUUCAUCUCCGGGGGUAGAGCACUGUUUCGGCAAGGGGGUCAUCCCGACUUACCAACCCGAUGCAAACUGCGAAUACCGGAGAAUGUUAUCACGGGAGACACACGGCGGGUGCUAACGUCCGUCGUGAAGAGGGAAACAACCCAGACCGCCAGCUAAGGUCCCAAAGUCAUGGUUAAGUGGGAAACGAUGUGGGAAGGCCCAGACAGCCAGGAUGUUGGCUUAGAAGCAGCCAUCAUUUAAAGAAAGCGUAAUAGCUCACUGGUCGAGUCGGCCUGCGCGGAAGAUGUAACGGGGCUAAACCAUGCACCGAAGCUGCGGCAGCGACGCUGAUGCGUUGUUGGGUAGGGGAGCGUUCUGUAAGCCUGCGAAGGUGUGCUGUGAGGCAUGCUGGAGGUAUCAGAAGUGCGAAUGCUGACAUAAGUAACGAUAAAGCGGGUGAAAAGCCCGCUCGCCGGAAGACCAAGGGUUCCUGUCCAACGUUAAUCGGGGCAGGGUGAGUCGACCCCUAAGGCGAGGCCGAAAGGCGUAGUCGAUGGGAAACAGGUUAAUAUUCCUGUACUUGGUGUUACUGCGAAGGGGGGACGGAGAAGGCUAUGUUGGCCGGGCGACGGUUGUCCCGGUUUAAGCGUGUAGGCUGGUUUUCCAGGCAAAUCCGGAAAAUCAAGGCUGAGGCGUGAUGACGAGGCACUACGGUGCUGAAGCAACAAAUGCCCUGCUUCCAGGAAAAGCCUCUAAGCAUCAGGUAACAUCAAAUCGUACCCCAAACCGACACAGGUGGUCAGGUAGAGAAUACCAAGGCGCUUGAGAGAACUCGGGUGAAGGAACUAGGCAAAAUGGUGCCGUAACUUCGGGAGAAGGCACGCUGAUAUGUAGGUGAAGUCCCUCGCGGAUGGAGCUGAAAUCAGUCGAAGAUACCAGCUGGCUGCAACUGUUUAUUAAAAACACAGCACUGUGCAAACACGAAAGUGGACGUAUACGGUGUGACGCCUGCCCGGUGCCGGAAGGUUAAUUGAUGGGGUCAGCGCAAGCGAAGCUCUUGAUCGAAGCCCCGGUAAACGGCGGCCGUAACUAUAACGGUCCUAAGGUAGCGAAAUUCCUUGUCGGGUAAGUUCCGACCUGCACGAAUGGCGUAAUGAUGGCCAGGCUGUCUCCACCCGAGACUCAGUGAAAUUGAACUCGCUGUGAAGAUGCAGUGUACCCGCGGCAAGACGGAAAGACCCCGUGAACCUUUACUAUAGCUUGACACUGAACAUUGAGCCUUGAUGUGUAGGAUAGGUGGGAGGCUUUGAAGUGUGGACGCCAGUCUGCAUGGAGCCGACCUUGAAAUACCACCCUUUAAUGUUUGAUGUUCUAACGUUGACCCGUAAUCCGGGUUGCGGACAGUGUCUGGUGGGUAGUUUGACUGGGGCGGUCUCCUCCUAAAGAGUAACGGAGGAGCACGAAGGUUGGCUAAUCCUGGUCGGACAUCAGGAGGUUAGUGCAAUGGCAUAAGC